rnacentral:rRNA from 1 species
UAAUGAGGGGAGGAAAAGAAACUAACAAGGAUUUUCUUAGUAGCGGCGAGCGAAAAGAAAACAGUUCAGCACUAAGUCACUUUGUCUUAAUGGCAAAUGUGAGAUGCAGUGUAUGGAAUGUCAAAUUUCUAGUAUGAGAAAUUAACGAUUUAAGUCCUUCUUAAAUGAGGCCAUUUACCCAAAGAGGGUGCCAGGCCCGUAUAACGUUAAUGAUUACUAGAUGGCAUUUCCAAAGAGUCGUGUUGCUUGAUAGUGCAGCACUAAGUGGGUGGUAAACUCCAUCUAAAACUAAAUAUAACCAUGAGACCGAUAGUAAACAAGUACCGUGAGGGAAAGUUGAAAAGAACUCUGAAUAGAGAGUUAAAUAGUACGUGAAACUGCUUAGAGGUUAAGCCCGAUGAACCUGAAUAUCCGUUAUAGAAAAUUCAUCAUUAUGAUUUUAAUAUUUAUAAUAUUAUAAUAAUGGUGUGCAUUUUUUCUAUAAAGGACAUUGUAAUCUAUUAACAUAAAUAUAUUUAUCAUAAGAUCAGGUGCUUAAGUUUAUUCAAAUUAUUUUGCUUGCAACUUAACAUAGAAUAAAUGCGCUUGAUUUGAUAAAGUGUUGAUAGAUUUAUUAUAUAUAGUGCUUAAAUAUUUAUAUUUUAUAAUAGCAUAUUAAUCAUUGAUUUUUAUGUUUAUUAUAUGCACUUAUAUGAUUAACAAUGCGAAAGAUUCAGGAUACCUUCGGGACCCGUCUUGAAACACGGACCAAGGAGUCUAACAUAUUUGCAAGUUAUUGGGAUAAAAAACCUAAUAGCGAAAUUAACAUAACUUUAUUAAUGGGAUUAGUUUUUAGCCUAUUUAUAGUCUAUUAAUUCAAUCCCGGGGCGUUCUAUCAGUUAUGUAUAAUAAUAUUUAUAUUAUUUAUACCUCUAACUAGAGCGUACCUUGAGCAUAUAUGCUGUGACCCGAAAGAUGGUGAACUAUACUUGAUCAGGUUGAAGUCAGGGGAAACCCUGAUGGAAGACCGAAACAGUUCUGACGUGCAAAUCGAUUGUCAGAAUUGAGUAUAGGGGCGAAAGACCAAUCGAACCAUCUAGUAGCUGGUUCCCUCCGAAGUUUCCCUCAGGAUAGCUGGUGCAUUUAAAAAUUAUGUAAAAUAAUCUUAUCUGGUAAAGCGAAUGAUUAGAGGCCUUAGGGUCGAAACGACCUUAACCUAUUCUCAAACUUUAAAUGGGUAAGAACCUCACCUUUCUUGGUAUGAAGGUUGUGGUUGUGAUAUAAUGUGCCCAGUGGGCCACUUUUGGUAAGCAGAACUGGCGCUGUGGGAUGAACCAAACGUAAUGUUACGGUGCCCAAAUUAACAACUCAUGCAGAUACCAUGAAAGGCGUUGGUUGCUUAAAACAGCAGGACGGUGGACAUGGAAGUCGUAAUCCGCUAAGGAGUGUGUAACAACUCACCUGCCGAAGCAACUAGCCCUUAAAAUGGAUGGCGCUUAAGUUGUAUACCUAUACAUUACCGCUAAAGUAGAUGGUUUAUGUUCAAUUUCGGUUGGAUUGUAAACUUUGAAACUUUAGUGAGUAGGAGGGUACAAUGGUGAGCAUAGAAGUGUUUGGCGUAAGCCUGCAUGGAGCUGCCAUUGGUACAGAUCUUGGUGGUAGUAGCAAAUAAUCGAAUGAGACCUUGGAGGACUGAAGUGGAGAAGGGUUUCGUGUGAACAGUGGUUGAUCACGAGUUAGUCGGUCCUAAGUUCAAGGCGAAAGCCGAAAAUUUUCAAGUUAUAAUGAAUAGUAAAAAAAUUUACUUAGUAAUUAAACACUUGAAUAAUUUUGAACGAAAGGGAAUACGGUUCCAAUUCCGUAACCUGUUGAGUAUCCGUUUGUUAUUAAAUAUGGGCCUUGUGCUCAUCCUGGCAACAGGAACGACCAUAAAGAAGCCGUCGAGAGAUAUCGGAAGAGUUUUCUUUUCUGUUUUAUAGUCGUACUACCAUGGAAGUCUUUCGAAGAGAGAUAUGGUAGAUGGACUAGAAGAGCAUGACAUUUACUGUUGUGUCGAUAUUUUCUCCUCGGACCUUGAAAAUUUAUGGUGGGGUCACGCAAACUUCUCAACAGGCCGUACCAAUAUCCGCAGCUGGUCUCCAAGGUGAAGAGUCUCUAGUCGAUAGAAUA